GCCGGGCGCGGUGGCACGUGCCUGUAGUCCCAGCUACUCGGGAGGCUGAGGUGGGAGGAUUGCUUGAGCGCAGGAGUUCUGGGCUGUAGUACACUAUGCCGAUCGGGUGUCCACACUAAGUUCAGCAUCAAUAUGGUGACCUCCCGGGAGCGGGGAACCACGAGAUUGCCUAGGGAGGGGUGAACCAGCCCAGCUUGGAAACGAAGGAGGUCAAAAAUCCUGUGCUGAUCAGUAGUGGGAUCGCGCCUGUGAAUAGCCACUGCACUCCAGCCUGGGCAAUAUAGGGAGACCCCGUCCCU
rnacentral:SRP_RNA from 1 species